AGUGAACGCUGGCGGCAGGCCUAAUACAUGCAAGUCGAACGGCAGCACAGCAGAGCUUGCUCUGUGGGUGGCGAGUGGCGGACGGGUGAGGAAUACAUGGGAAUCUGCCCAGUCGUGGGGGAUAACGUAGGGAAACUUACGCUAAUACCGCAUGCGCCCUUCGGGGGAAAGCCGGGGACCUUCGGGCCUGGCGCGAUUGGAUGAGCCCAUGUCGGAUUAGCUAGUUGGCGGGGUAAUGGCCCACCAAGGCGACGAUCUGUAGCUGGUCUGAGAGGACGACCAGCCACACUGGGACUGAGACACGGCCCAGACUCCUACGGGAGGCAGCAGUGGGGAAUUUUGGACAAUGGGCGAAAGCCUGAUCCAGCCAUGCCGCGUGCAGGAUGAAGGCCUCGGUUGUAACUGCUUUGUACGGUACGAAAGACUACCUUCUAAUAAGGGUACCGAGUGACGGUACCGUAACGAAUAAGACACCGGCUAACUACGUAGUCCAGCAGCCGAC
rnacentral:rRNA from 1 species